GAUGAACGCUGGCGGCGUGCCUAAUACAUGCAAGUCGAGCGAACGGACGAGAAGCUUGCUUCUCUGAUGUUAUCGGCGGACGGGUGAGUAACACGUGGAUAGCCUACCUAUAAGACUGGGAUAACUUCGGGAAACCGGAGCUAAUACCGGAUAAUAUUUUGAACCGCAUGGUUCAAAAGUGAAAGACGGUCUUGCUGUCACUUAUAGAUGGAUCCGCGCUGCAUUAGCUAGUUGGUAAGGUAACGGCUUACCAAGGCAACGAUGCAUAGCCGACCUGAGAGGGUGAUCGGCCACACUGGAACUGAGACACGGUCCAGACUCCUACGGGAGGCAGCAGUAGGGAAUCUUCCGCAAUGGGCGAAAGCCUGACGGAGCAACGCCGCGUGAGUGAUGAAGGUCUUCGGAUCGUAAAACUCUGUUAUUAGGGAAGAACAUAUGUGUAAGUAACUGUGCACAUCUUGACGGUACCUAAUCAGAAAGCCACGGCUAACUACGUG
rnacentral:rRNA from 1 species